rnacentral:rRNA from 1 species
AUUGAACGCUGGCGGCAGGCCUAACACAUGCAAGUCGAACGAGUGGCGGACGGGUGAGUAAUGUCUGGGAAACUGCCUGAUGGAGGGGGAUAACUACUGGAAACGGUAGCUAAUACCGCAUACCAUCGGAUGUGCCCAGAUGGGAUUAGCUAGUUGGUGGGGUAAAGGCUCACCUAGGCGACGAUCCCUAGCUGGGCUGAGAGGAUGAACAGCCCCACUGGAACGGAGCCACGGCCCAGACCCCUACGGGAGGCAGCAGAGGGGAAAAUGGCAUAAUGGGCGCAGGCCUGAUGCAGCCCUGCCGCGUGUAUGAAGAAGGCCUUCGGGUUGUAAAGUACUUUUAGCGGGGAGGCGUUACCAGCAGAAGAAGCACCGGCUAACUCCGUGCCAGCAGCCGCGGUAAUUC